CACCACGCCCAGCUAAUUUUUGUAUUUUUAGUAGACACAGGGUUUCACUUUGUUGGCCAGGCUUGUCUCAAACUCUUGACCUCAAGUGAUCCACCCACCUCAGCCUCCCAGAGUGCUGGGAUUACAGGUGUGAGCCACUGUGUCUGGCCUGAAUCCCUUAGUUCUGAUUGUAAGUUACUUAGGGGAAGAGCUCAUUUGCUGAGUUUGGAUCAGGUAUUAAAUCUUAGCCUAUGACCAUAUUUUACAAUUAUUACUGCUCUUACCAUAGGUGGUAUGAGGGCAAAGGGGUUGGAUUGGUGUGAAGAAGCUGGGAAGACAAAUCUACAACGUCCAUUAUAAAGGCAUGGCUAUGAUUCAGAAUCACUGGAUAAUUUGUUUAAACAACAAACAUUUACUGAGCUCAUAGCAGGUGUCCUACUGGGCAGGGAAUAAAAAUUAAGCAGGAUAAAUGUGGUCCCUGGUUACAAGAUGCUUAAAAUAUUCUGUUUGAUUCUUGAUGACUUUUCAGAAAAUCAUGUUCACUUAUAGAUUGAGUGACGGAAGAACUAGUGAAACCAGAUGUUGAGAAGGGAUAUUUUCAAAGGCUUUGUUCUCUGUAAGAAUCCAGUAAUUUUAUCCUCUUUAUUUUACUGCCAGUAAGGAGCAGAUGAUGAUAACAGAAAGACUGCACAGUGUGUGUGUAUGGUGGCGGUGGGGGGUGCGGGGGCAGAAAAGGGCGGGUAGAGAAGGAGAUAAAAGUGGGUGAGGGUGGGAGAGAAAAGAUGAAAGGGAAAACAAAGGAUGAGGUUUUACAUAACAUUGCUAAAUUCUUCAACGUUCCUAAUACCUCCUUAUUUUCAUACUUGUUCUUAUGGUGAUGCAGGGUUCUUUUCUACAUUUUGGUUGCUCACUUCCCAAAGCUCUUUACAGACAUAAACUCUAAGAAUCCACAAAGAUAAUAACCCUUGUCAAUACCACUAGGAAUUUUGAAAAUUAUUGGUUUCACAUUGUCAUUAUCUGUACCUCAUUUUGCUAAGUACACACAUGAAUUCCCUGUUGUCAAGACUGUGUAGUCUAAGACAAACCACGUUAUUUUAUGUCAUUAAAACAAUUGAAUACAUUUAUUAAAUCAAGGUAGAGUGACAAUUCCCAUAUUUAAUUUUACCUGUGGCUACAAAGGUUUUUCCAGAUAUAGACAUCAAAAAAUACAAUGUGUGAUGACUGAAGAGUUAGUGAAAAAGCAACAUUUCUAAAUUGAAAAAUUGAUUUUUGGUGCAUUCCAAAGUUUCCUUUCAGUAGAAUCUUGUUUCUAAGAUUACAAUUUCAAAUGUCAUUUCUAUUGGAUUUGAACUAAUUACUGAUUAGGCUGAAAGUGUGUGACUUCUUUACGGGUCCUCUCUUACUACCUAAAAGGUAAACCUCUAUUUGUAAACUAACUUGGGGUGAGAUGUGAGUGUGUGUGUGUGUGUGCAUGCCUGCAAUAUCCUUCACACCGUCCCUUAGAUAUUGUCCUAGAGUGAAUAGAGGUUGCCGGUUUAGACUGUGUGUUGUGACAAGUGUGAGGAUUAUGAAGCUCUUUUAUAAAAUUUCUAUGAAAGACUGUCUAAUAGAUGUGAAUGUAGCUGUAAAAAUACACUUGACUUAUUUUUUUUGGUUCUCUACUAUUUAUUUGGUGGAAAUAUCUUGAGGUUCUGUGGUAGCAAAUAGUUGAAGAAAUCCACUCACCACACUCAUUCCAUAUUCAAAACAACAACAGCAACAUUAGAGGCAGCAGAAUAAGCCACACAGGCUCAUGGUACUCAGAUAAUUCAGAGACAUUAUCAACUAAAUAAGAUCCCAGACUUCAGAAAUAAAGUGAAGUACUUUAAACAGACUAUAAAUUUUAAAACUAGAAUUUCAAAAUUAAUAGUAUGUAUCCUGUGACUAUUUUAUAUCAAAUUAUAUAAAUGUGAAUAUUAGGAUGUUCAUUCUAACUGAUUUCAUAAGAUAUAUACAGGCUUAUCAUUACAAAGUAUUUUAUAUUGGCAUGGGACACUUGCAAAUAUAUUUUUAAUUUUUUCAAUGCAUUUUUAAAAAAUAUUUUAAGUUCUGGGAUACAUGUGCAGGAUAUGCACGUUUGUUACAUAAGUACAUGAUGGUUUGCUGCACCUAUCAAUCCAUUACCUAGGUAUUAAGUCCCACAUGCAUUAGCUAUUUAUCCUGAUGCUCUCCCUCCCCCCACACCCCUAACAGGGCCCAGUGUGUGUUGUUCCACUCCCUGUGUCCAUGUGUUCUCAUUAUUCAGCUCCCAGUUAUAAGUGAGAACAUGUGGUGUUUGAUUUUCUGUUUCUGUUUUAGUUUACUGAGGAUAAUGGCUUCCAGCUCCAUCCAUGUCCCUGCAAAGAAGAUGAUCUUGUUUUUUAUGGCUGCAUAGUAUUCCAUGGUGUAUAUGUACCACAUUUUCUUUAUCCAGUUUAUCAUUGAUGGGCAUUUGUGUUAAAUCCAUGCCUUUGCUAUUGUAAAUAGUGCUGCAAUGAACAUACACAUGCAUGUGUCUUUAUAAUAGAAUGAUUUAUAUUCCCUUGGGCAUAUACCCAAUAAUGGGAUUGCUGAGUCAAAUGGUAUUUCUGGUUCUAGGUCUUUCAGGAAUCACCACACUGUCUUCCACAAUGGUUGAACUAAUUUACGUUCCUACCAACAGUGUAAAAGUGUUUCUGUUUCUCCAUAGCCUCACCGGCAUCUGUUGUUUCUUUACUUUUUAAUAAUCACUAUUCUGACUGGUGGUCAUUGUGGUUUUGAUUUGCAUUUUUCUAAUGACCAGUUAUGUUGAACUUUUUUUCAUAUGUUUGUUGGCCACAUGAAUGUCUUCUUUUGAGAAGUGUCUGUUCAUGUCCUUUGCCCACUUUUUAAUGAGGUUGAAUUUUUCUUGUAAAUUGGUUUAAGUUCCUUGUAGAUUCUGGAUAUUAGACUUUUAUCAGAUGGAUAGAUUGCAAAAAUUAUCUCUCAUUCUGUAGGUUAUCUGUUUACUCUGAUGAUAGUUUUGUUUUUCUGUCUAGAAGCUCUUUAGUUUAAUGAGAUCCCAUUUUUAAAUUUUGCUUUUUUUGCAAUCACUUUGGGUGUUUUCAUCAUGAAAUAUUUGCCUGUGCCUAUUCCUAAAUCAUAUUCCCUAGAUUUUCUUCUAGGGUUUUUAUAGUUUAGCGUUUUACAUUUAAGUCUUUAAUCUAUCUUGAGUUAAUUUUUGUAUAAGGUGUAAGGAAAGGGUCCAGUUUCAAUUUUCCAGUUUUGAGAAUCCUUUCCCCAUUGCUUGCUUUUGUCAGGUUUGUUGAAGAUCAAAUGGUUGUAGAUGCACAGUCUUAUUUCUGAGAUUUCUCUUCUGUUUCAUUGGUCUAUGUAUCUGUUUUUUUACUGGUACCAUGCUGUUUGGUUACUGUAGCUUUGUAGUAUAGUUUGAAGUCAGGUAGUGUGAUGCCUGCAGCUUUGUUCUUUUUGCUUAGAAUUGUUUUGGCUAUAAAGGGUCUUUUUUGGUUCCACAUGAAUUUAAAGGUAUUUUUCUUCUAAUUCUGUGAAGAAUGUCAAUGGUAUUUUAAUGGGAAUAGCAAUGAAUCUAUAAAUUAUCUUGGGCACUAUGGCCAUUUUCACGAUAUUUAUUCUUCCUAUGCAUGAUACUGAAAUGUUUUACCAUUUGUUUGUGUCCUCACUUAUUUCCAUGAGCAGUGGUUUAUAGUUCUCCUUGAUAAGAUCCUUGACUUCCUUUGUUAGCUGUAUUUCUAGGUAUUUUAUUCUCUUUGUAGCAAUUAUGAAUGGUAGUUCAUUCAUGAUUUGGCUCUCUGCUUGUCUAUCAUUGGUGUAUGGGAAUGUUUAUAAUUUUUGCAUAUUGAUUUUGUAUCCUGAGACUUUGCUGAAGUUGCUUAUCAGCUUAAGAAGCUUUUGGGCUGAGAUUAUGGGGUUUUCUAGAUACAGGAUCAUGUCAACUGUGAACAGAGCUGGUUUGACUUCCUGUCUUCCCAUUUGAAUAUCCUUUAUUUCUUUUUCUUGCCUGAUUGUUUUGGCCGGAAAUUCCCAUACUGUGUUGAAUAGGAGUAGUGAGAGAGGGCAUCAUUUUCUUGUGCUGGUUUUCAAGAUGAAUACUUCCAACUUUUGUCCAUUCAGUAUAAUAUUGGCUGCGGGUUUGCCAUAAAUGGCACUAAUUAUUUUGAGGUAUGUUCCAUUAAUAUUUAAUUUAUUGAGAGUUUUUACUAUGAAGGUAUGUUGAAUUUUAUCAAAGGCCUUUUCUGCUUCUAUUGAGAUAAUAAUGUGGUUUUUCUUUAGUUCUGUUUAUGUGAUGAUUUACAUUUAUUGAUUUGUGUAUGUUGAACCAGCCUUGCAUCCUGAGAUGAAGCCUAUUUGAUCAUCGUAGAUAAGCUUUUUGAUGUGCUGCUGAAUUCACGUUGCCUGUAUUUUAUUGAAUAUUUUCACACUGAUGUUCAUCAGGGAUAUUGGCUUGAAGUUUUCUUUUUUCAUUGUAUCUCUGCCAGUUUUUGGUAUUAGGAUAUUGCUGGCCUCAUAAAAUUAGUUAGGGAGGAGUCUCUCCUUUUUGUUGCUUGGAAUAGUUUCAGAAGAAAUUGUCCCAGCUCUCUUUGUACCUCUGGUAGAAUUCAGCUCUCAAUCCAUCUGGUCCUGGGCUUUUGUUUUGGUUGGUAGGUUAUUUAUUACUGCCUCAAUUUCAGAACUCGUUGUUGUUCUAUUGAGGGAUUCAACUGCUUCCAGAUUCAGUCCUGAGAGGGUGUAUGUGCCCAGGAAUUUAUCCAUUUCUUCUCAGUUUUCUAGUUUAUUUGCAUAGAGGUGUUUAUAGUAUUCUCUGAUGGUUGUUUAUAUUUCUGUGAAGUCAGUGGUUAUAUCCCCUAUAUCAUUUUUUGUGUCUAUUUUAUUCUUCCUUUUUCUUUAUUCUAUCUGUUUUAGCAGACUAUAUAUUUUGUUAUAAUUAAAAAAAAAAAUCAGCUCCUGGAUUCAUUAAUUUUUUGAAAGGUUCUUCCUGUCUCUAUCUCUUUCAAUUACACUCUGAUCUUGGGUAUUUUUUGUCUUCUGCUAGCCUUGGGGUUUGUUUCCUCUUGGUUCUCUAGUUCUUUUAGUUGUGAUGUUAGGGUGUCAAUUGGAGAUCUGUCUAGCUUUUUGAUGUUGGUAUCCAAUGCUAUAAAUUUUCCUCUGAACAUGGCUUUAGCUGUGUCCCAGAGAUUCUGGUAUGUUGUCUCUUUGUUCUCGCUGGUAUCAAAGAACUUGAUUUCUGCCUUAAUUUCAUUAUUUACCCAGGAGACACUCAAGGGAAGAUUAUUCAAUUUACAUGUAGUUGUGUGGUAUUGAGUGAGUUUUAGAAUUUUGAGUUCUCCCUUCCCCCUCUUCCCCACCAUCCCUGUAGCCAAUGGAGGACUGUAUUAGUCAGCUUGGGCUUCAUAGCAAAAUGCCACAGUCUGGGUGGCUUAUACAACAUAUAUUUGUUUCUCACAAUUUUCGAUGCUGGGAAGGUCAAGGUCAAUGUGCCAGCCAGGUAGGUUUCAUUCUGAGGCCUCUUCUUUUGUGUUAUAGACUGCUGCCAUAUUGCUGUGUGCUUGCAAAACUUCUUUUAGUGUUUACUGAGAGCAAGCAUGCCCUUUGAUGUCUCUUCCUAUAAGGACAUUAAUCCUAUUGGAUCAGAGCCUCAACCUUAUGAUCUCAUUUAACUUCAAUUACUCCUAUAGAGGCCUCAUCCCCAAAUACAGCCAACUGGAGUUUAGAAUUUAAACAUUUGAAUCUAGGGGAACACAAACAUUCAGUCUGUGAUGGAAACCAGGUCUAGGAAUAUUGGUAAAGAUAAUAUUGCUAUUGCUACCAUCUUAUUUAAGAUUAUUUCUGUCUCUUGCUUGAAUAAUGUGAAAGUUUAUAAAGUGAUCUACAAUCUUUAUUUCUUCCAUUCUAUACUCAUAAGUGCCUUGGAUUGAUCAUAAUAUGUAAACUUGAUAAUUUACUUCCAUGCCAAACACUUCAGUGGUUCUUUUCAAUGAGGUACAAAUUGCAUAGCGUGGUACAUAAAGGCCUUCAUCAUCAAUCUGUUUUUUUUUUUUUUUUUUUGCUUAACUGUAUGGCAUAACACAUAGAGUGCCCCUCAUGCAACAUAUGACACAAUUCUAUUGAUAAAAGAAUAAUUCCUCAAAGUACCUUGGUUUUAUUUCUUUAUUUGUGUUUUGUCUUUGGAAAACCUCUUUAUUGAAAGAUGUCUAUAUGUCAUUAUGUUCUUAGCUCAUGUUGUCACAUCUAUGAAGUCUCAUCUCUUGUUCCUAUAGAGCUUGACAGUUUUUUUUCUUUCUCUAACUUUUUAAUUUCUUAAUUGUUAAUAUUUUAAAAUAUGUAUAGUGUCUCAUUCCAUCACCUAGACUGGGGUGCAGUGGUACAAUCAUAGCUUGCUCUGGUCUUGAACAUCUGGGCUCAAGUGAUCUGCUGAGACCAGUUUGGUCGGGGAGACCCUAACCCAGUGGUGCUAGAAGAAUUAAAAACACACACACAGAAAUAUAGAGGUGUGAAGUGGGAAAUCAGGGGUCUCACAGCCUUCAGAGCUGAGAGCCCCGAACAGAGAUUUAGCCAUGUAUUUAUUAACAGCAAGCCAGUCAUUAGCAUUGCUUCUAUAGAUAUUAAAUUAACUAAAAGUAUCCCUUAUGGGAAAUGAAGGGAUGGGCCAAAUUAAAGGAAUAGGUUGGACUAGUUAACUGUAGCAGGAGCAUGUCCUUAAGGCACAAAUCUCAUGCGAUUGUCUGUGGCUUAAGAAUGCCUUUAAGCAGUUUUCUGCCCUGGGCGGGCCUUGUGUUCCUUGCCCUCAUUCCAGUAAACCCACCACCUUCCAGCAUGGGCGUUAUGGCCAUCAUGAACAUGUCACAGUGCUGCAGAGAUUUUGUUUAUGGCCAGUUUUGGGGCCAGUUUAUGGCCAGAUUUGGGGGGACUUGUUCCUAACAGUGAUCCUCCUGCCUCAGCCUCCUAAGUAGCUAGGACCACAGGCAUGCUCCACCUCUCCUGGCUACAUUUUGUUUUUUGGAGAGACAGGGUCUCACUAUGUUGCCCUGGCUGGUAUAGAACUCUUGGGCUCAAGUAAUCCUCCUGCCUUGGACUCCAAAAAUGCUGGGAUUAUAGACAUGAGUCACCACACCUGUCCCACCUGUCUACCACUUUUCUUUGAAGACCUACUCAUAUAUGCAUCUUUCAUAGCAUCUGAAGUAUUGGAUCACACUUUUAAUAUCCUUGUUAUUUUAUUAGACUAUGUUCCUUAAAGAUUGAGGCAUGUCUACUUCAUUUUGUUAUUUAUAGCAUCCUGCACAGUGUCUGACACUUAUUAAACAUUUGCUGAAUUGGUGAUGAAAUUAAUUAAUUUAGGGGAGCUUACUUAGUUCCAACUGCUAUCCUAAGUGACUAUAUAGAUAGAUAUGGAGUGACUAUUAUAUAAAUAUUAAACAAAAGGUCUCUGCCUUCAAGGUGGUUAUUGUUUAGUGGAGAAGAGGACAUGUAUAUGAAUAAAUAGAGUAACAGUAAAAAGUAGUUUGCUAUAUAGAACAUGUUAUGGUAUUUGAAAGGAAGGAGAGAUUACUCAAGAUGUUUCUCAGGACUGUCAGGUUUUACAUGGUGUUAAAAGAUGAAGUUACAUACUUCACUAUUAAAAAAUUCCUGUUCAAAAGAAAACAAAAGAAUAAAGUACAGAAAUCAAACUACCCCUUCUACAAGACUAAUAAGUACCUGUAACUGUGAAAACAGAGAGAGGGAGGGAGGGAGAGAGAGAGAGAGAGAAAGAGAGAAACAGAUAGAGACAGUUACAGAAAUGAUCAAAGAAUUAUAGAUACAGUGAAAACAUAGUAAAGAUGCAACAACUACCAAAUAUAGUCAUGUAGUCUAACAAAGUUCUUCUUGUUAAUCAUUGUAGCAAGGCUACAUGUAUGCACACAACUGGAAAAACUGGAGCAACUCAGAAUGGAAUGAGGUGUGUGUGGGGGUACUUGUUAUAGAAUUUGGGCUCAUGUUCAGUGAUUUUAGAGAGGGUUCCUGGAGGCUCAAUUGUUCUGGGUUUUGGUACUAUCAGAUAAUAAUGUAUCUUAAUUUUUUAUUUAGGGGGUGGAAGAAAGGAAGUGAGGCCAGAGUUGUCAUUAGUAGCGAAGCAGUUUUCAUUCACUUUACCCAGGAGAGAGAGCUAUUUGGCUUUUUUGUCAUGUUUUGGGAAGGAUCAGCAUUCAUUUCUUGUGGUUACUGCAACAAAUUUGUUAGUUUACACCAACAGAAAUUUACUUUCCCACAGUUCUGGUAGCCACAAAUCCAAAAUCAGUUUCACUGAGCUAAAAUCUAGAUGUCAGUAGAAUUGUGCUUCCUCUCUCCAGAGGCUCUGCCUCUUCUAACUCAUGGUGGCUACUGGCAGUCCUUGGCUUGUGGCCACAUCACUCAAAUAUCUACCAGAUAUCAUCUUCACACUGCCUUCUCCUCUGUGUUCCUGUGUCAAAUCUCCUCUAUCUCUCUUAUACAAAUACACGAGAUGACAUUUUAGACUCAUCUGGAUAGUCCAUAAUAAUUUUCUCAUCUCAAGAUCCUUAUCUUAAUCUCAUCUGCAAAGACCUUUUUUCUUUUCCAAAUAAAGUAACAUUUGCAGGUUAUAGGGAUUCGAAUAAGAGGGUACUGUUUAGUCCACUAGAGUGUCCUUUUGUUUUCUUGGCAUUCAGAUAUAAUUAUGAAAUAGUAUUGUUUUUAUCUUUCUCUAUCAUAGUCACUGUCAUGGCCAUUUCUUAUGUCGCAUGGGGAAGACCAUAUUUAGUUCUCUGUUACUAGCUGUCAGUUAUAGAACCAGUUUUUUUCAUUCUCAGGACAGAACAUAGGACUGAUAAAUUCAAGCACAAUGAAAUAAAAGAGAACAUAUAUUUAAUACAAUAAAAGAGAUUAAGAGCAAAGGAAAAUAUACAAUGACCAUCUAACAGGAAAAGUUGGUAUCUCUGAACAAGUAACAAAAUAAGAAAAAAAAGUAUUGUAAGUUGUAACUCAAGACAAAUAUGCAAGAAUAAAAUCAGACUUGAAUCAAAAAAUACUAAGAAAAUAAUUGGCAUCCAGUGGUCAAUGCCAAAAUUUUAUUGGACACUACAGAUAAAAAAUGAGGUAUACAUUAAAAAUAUGCAAAGUCACUUAUAAAUGAAAAUGUCAAGCUGAACUUAUACUUUCUAAGAAUAAUUUUCAAAGCUAGAGAAAAGUGGACAAAUACUUAUAUAGUCCUGUAGCAACUACAGUGCAAUUCAAGAAUGUUUAAAUGCAGCAAAAACAAAAUUUGAACAGGAAAAAAUUCAGAUAAUAUAGUAUUAUGUUGGUUUAUUUUAUAUGUCACUUGACUGGGCCACAGGAUGCCCCAAUAUUUAGGCUAACAUAAUUCUGGGUGUUUCUGUUUGGGUAAUUUUGAAUGAGAUUAACAUUUAUUUUAUUAAAAGAGCUAUUUUUAAAAAAUUUGGAAAAUAGAGCUUUAUUUCCCUUAAAGGAUUACAGCCUGCAUGCAAGGUGGCCAUUCUGACAGGCUGGAAAGCAUAGUCUCCAGUCAGAAAACAGAAACAGACACUUCAAUAAAGGGGCAAAGGGAUUGAAAAUUUAUCUCAGAAUGGGGUGUCCAAAUAUACAUAUGUAAUAAGCUACAAGAGAAGUCGUGAAUAUUUAUGAAAAAGGAAAGGUUCAUGUGCAAUUGCGCUUCAUGCCCCUUCAUGGGUCCCAUGUACAAAAAAUGGUAGUUAGCAUGAUCCCAGCAUGGAGUUUUGGACUCUCUGAUGUCAAAAGAUUAAGCAGAGGACAUGAAAAUCUUUAUUGUGCAUUCUCCAUAGACUGACCAGAACCAUUCUGUGUCUAGUAGUCUUUUAUCAGGCAAAAAUGCUGUGCAGUUGUAACAAAGCUGCAAAAGAGAGGAGCUCUCAGUGGUGCAGAAAGUCUUUUGAAAGGGCUGGUUUCUGUUUAGUCCUUAGAGAAGAAAGUCUAAUGGCAGUUAGUGAGGGAGAGGGUAUAAUGAGGCAUGUCUGACCUCAUAUCUUAUCAUGGCUAAGAACUUAGUUUUCAAAAUUUCUCUGGGUCCCUUUAGCCAAGGGAAGGCUUUUUCAGUCAGUUGGAGGGCUUAAUUUUAUUAAUAUUUUCAUUUGUCAUUUUCCUCCUUUUGGCCUGGAUUUGUUAGAGGCAGCAUCAAUGACCAAACUUGUAUUUUGUCCCAUAUUUCGGUUGAGGUAGUGUGGCUACCUUCCCUGGGUCCAUCCUGUUCCUCAGUGGGACCCGUAUGGCCACGAGAUUUAGAGUCAAAGGACUUACAACCAAUUAAAUGUUCCAGACCCAGCAGGAAUGGAAGUGAGCAGGCACCAAUCAACCCUUAAAAUCUGUUAAGCAACAUAGCAGCCAAAACCCAAAGCCAAAAAGCAAGGUUACAAGAUUGAAUUACCUAUAAAUUCUAUGCAGUAACCUACUGUAGUCUUGGUCUUAGGUAUAUACUUGAAGCAAUUAGCUAUAUAAAACAUAAGAAUUUUGCUAAAACUAUUUAAGCUGAGGAAUUUUAGAGACUUUUGUUGUGCUUCAAUGCUUUCUGCGAUCUCUGUAUUAAUUUGCUCUAAGGUAGAAAAUAAAUUUUUUCAUCCUAGCCCUAUUUGCAUAAGAGUUUAACAUUUAAAUUGAUCGACUGAAUAAGGCAAAUUGUCCUCUACAAUGUGAGUGUGUCUCUUCGUAUCAAAGGCCUAAAUAGAAUAAAAAUUUGACCCACCUCCUAGUAAGAGAGAAUUCUCCUGUCUGAACGCCUUUGCACCAGAAUGUCAGCUUCUCCUGGUUCUACAGCAACCUUCAUACUUAAAUGGGACAUUAGCUCUACAGAUCUAAGACUUGCCAUCUACCAUAAUCGUGUGAGCCAAUUUCCUUCUUUCUUUCUUUCUUUCUUUCUUUCUUUCUUUCUUUCUUUCUUUCUUUCUUUCUUUCUUUCUUUCUUUCUUUCUUUUUCUUUCUUUCUUUUUCUCUCUCUCUCGCUCUCUCCCUUCCUUCCUUCCUUCCUUCCUUCCUUCCUUCCUUUCUUUCUUUCGUUCUUUCUUUUGUCUAUUUUUCUAGAGAAUCCUAAGGAAUACAUACAGAUUCCAUAAUCCUGACUUAAAUUGCAGGAGAGGUUCAGGCAGGAAAUGGUUUGAGAAACUACACUGAAGGGUCUGAGGGUGAUAAUGUAACUCAUUUAACUAUAGGACAAGGCUAAAACUAAUGUAAGUAUUAUGGUUAUAAUAUAGAUUCACAUUUUAAAGUGUGUGCUGAGUAAAAAAGAUAAAAAGAACAAAAAUCAACUGGAGGAGAAAGAAUGAACCAGGGAGACAGUGUAAAUAUGCUAAUUUCUCCAUGUUUUAGAAGGAGAAACUAGAAGAUAUGUAUUAAAACUCACACAACGAAUAAUAGAAAUUUGUCUAUAUUUAUAGUAUAACCACUAAAAUAAAAAAUAAACUAAAACUGAGUGGUAGAGAGAAUGAGAAUAUAUAGAUGUGGAAAUAUAUGAAUUUUAUCUUUGUUCUUAGUAAAUUAAUAUAUAUUACUAAAAUAACAAAAUAAUGUAUUCUAAAUGUUAUACUUAAAUGUAGCCACUAGAACAAAAAUAUAAAUAUAUCAACAGAAACACAGAAUAUGUCAAACAUUUAGUGGAAGGUUUUUAAAAAAUCAAUAAAAAAUGAAGUAUAACAUAAAAUAUGAUGACAGAACUGAAACCGAAUAUAUUUUAUACUUAGAAAUUGGUGAAAUAAAUCUGUUUAAAAUGUACUGUCAUAAUGAAACACAAAGCAAAACCCAACUAAUAUGCUAAAAGAAGAUAAAUACCUAAAACAAAAUUAUCUACAAAGUUAAUUUUAAAAACUUGUCUCAGAGCAAGACCGACUCUCUGCAUGCCAUUAUUUGCAGAAUUCAAAAGAAGGCCCUGUUUUAGGAGUAAGGACCCACUACCUGAUACCUACAGGACCACAAAUCUCAACUAGCAUGAUUAACCCCAGAAGGCUUGACAUACCUGCCAAACUCUUGUUACAUUUCCUAGCUUCCAUCCUCAUAGCCAUGUCACCUCUAUCUAGCUUUGAAUCACCAGAACUAUUUUUGUUGUACCAUUAGUCACCCCUAUUUAUAUUAGCUCCAGGCAGUGGUAUGCUGGUAAAUGCUUCAUAAUAAGCUCUCUGAAAUAAAGUGUGUAUGUAUAUAUACACAUCUAUAUAUACAUAUACAUAUAUAUACAUGCUUUAUAUAUAUACACAUGUAUUAUAUAUAUAUACACAUGUGUGUAUAUAUAUCUGAUAUAUAAUAAGCUCUCUGAAAUAGUGUAUAUACUUUAUUAUACAUACACCAUAUGUGUAUUUAUAUCUGAUAUACAUACAUAUCAGAGUUUAUAAAAAUUUUACUAAUAAGAAAGAGAAGCAAUACACAAUUUAAAAAUAAUUAUAAAAACACAAUACUUUUUAAGUUCCACAUACUUAAUUGAUUUUCAUAGAAUGCUUUUGUCCAUUAUUGACAAAUGCUUUCAUAUAGCCUAUCUCUGUUUGAAAUUCAAACAUGAUUUCACAAAUGGAAUUGCUUCCCAAUCGUUUAACUCAUUAUCCAAUAAAUUUAUUUUCUUUAUAUUUCAUAUGUGUUCUACUGUUAAACUAAUUCUCACCUUCAAAAAUAUUAUGUUGAUUAAACUGAAACCUCUUUCACUUCAGCACUAUACAAGACACCUGUAUUAAAUUUUACUCCAUAUUUUUAUAAGUCUAGAAAAUCAACAAAACAAUGAAUAAAGCCUUAUCUGUUACAUUUAUCAAUUUCUUGCUAUUGUCUGUUUUAAUCAACCAAACCAACAUCACUGAACACAGAGUUUGGAAGAAGUGUGCAGUAGCUCACCACUGUAUAAUAUUCCUAUCAUACAGAUCAAAUAGAUGUAAAUAACCGUCAAGAGUAUAGAUAACAGUAAAAUGUAGUAACAUUAUUGGAAAGUAAUUACUUUUGAAUAUUUAUUCUUUCCCCUCUUAACAUGGUUUAUUUAAUUAUAAGUUUACAUAAGUUAACACUGAAUAAUGACCACAUUUAGUAACUGGUUCAUGAGAUUCCUGAAAAUUUCACACUUGGCUCUUGUGAGCUGCUAGAGUAUGAGCCUUUUAUGAGCUGACUCCAGCUCGCCACUGAACUCCAAAGUUGCUCCUCAAACUUAGGCACUCAUUCCCAUAUGGCUCUUGUAUAUAAUCUUUUCUGAUCCAUCCUGUAUCCUGAUCCAUUGCUUAACUCUCUUUCAUUCUGCCAUCUGAAACUCAAGAUAAGUCAUCAGCAAAAUUUCCUAUAUCACCAAUCACUUUGGGAUAGUAUUUUUAAAAAUUCAUUCUCUGACACCCAGCAUUUUCAUGAUGCCAUUGUUUGUCCUGCAGCUCUCUCAAGUGGUGAAUAAUUUUCUCCUAUAGUCCUUCUGCUACUGGGUCUAAAUGUAUGUAGGUAACUCCUCUUUAUUGUGACUUUCAUAACAUAUUUUCAUCUUCCUGAAAUGUUCAGCUUUAAAUCUCAUAUCAUCAAACUACACCUAAACAAUCUCACUUGUAAAUCCCAAGGCACUCCCAAUAAUUUCUUGAAAAUAAUAGUUCUCAAUUCAUUGUCCUUCUUCAACAUGGAAGGAACGUACAAACAUGCUGUCUAGUUCUAUGAUUCAUGACCAUAAAUUUCAAGUGAACUUCUAAUGCUACUCAGAAAUCAGAUUAUGAUUUCCUAGAUUAUUAAUUCUACCAUUCCCCAAGAGGCCUGCUUCUCACAUUUACCUCCUCAAACUUCCAACACUGUCUCCCCAAUGCUUACUCUCUACUAAUGACCGUGCUUCCUACCUAGAAGGCAGAGGAAAAGGAGGAGAAUGAGGAGGAGGAAAAGAAGAAGAAAGUAAAAGAAUCAGAAAGUAUCUCCUAUAAGCUGCCAGCACCAAAACUGCCCAUCUACCUGUAUCUGUAUUCCUGCUCUUACCAGAGAUGAAUUUUUCCUCUUCCUAUCUACAAUUUAAAGUUAAACACUCCACUUGUGUACUGGAUCUCAUUCUGUCUUGCCUACUCAAGGUCAUUACCCCAAGAAUUUUCUUCUCUUUCUGUCCUACAUCAUUAAUUUUUCCCUUCAUUUUGAGUCAUUCCAAUAAACAUAUAAACGUAAUGAUAUUUCUUCCCUCUUAAAAACUUUAUAAAUUAUUUUACUUUGCCUCCAGUUAUGGUUCAAUUUCCCUUUUGUCCAUUACAGAAAAAUUUUUUGAAAGAAUUUUGUCUGCUUACAGAGUUUUAUUUCCUCCUUACUCUCACUAAUCUCUUGAACACACAAGUCAGGAAAUGACCUUCAUAUCUCUAUAAAUUACUCUUAUUAGGGAUACCAAUGGCUCCUAUAUUGACAAUUCCUAUGGAAAAUUCACAGUCCUCCUUUUACUUGACUUUUCAGUAGCUCUUGACACAAUUGGUAAUUUUUUCUUGGCUUUGAUAAUACUGACCUCAUUUCCCUGCCUUUUUUUUUUUUUUUUGGUCAACUAUUCUGUGUCUCCUUUGCUUGUUAUGCUUGCUUUCAUCUUCCUCAUUUAUUACUUCUGGAGUGUUCAAGGCUUUGUUUCAAACUUAGUCUUUCGAUCUAUUCUCACUCUCUAUGUGACCUUUUCCAGUCUUAAGAUUUUAAAUGUUAUCUAUGCUGAUCCUAACCAAAAUUUUGUUACUAGCUCAGGAUUAAUACCUUGAACCUUAAAUGUGGCUUAUGAUCUUUGGGUAUCAAAAGGCAAAUAAGGCUUAUCAUCUUUUACACUAAGCUGCUGAUAUUGAUCCUCCCUCACCCAAACUUAUAUCUCCCAUAUCCUUUCCCUAUUCAGGUGACAGUUGCUCAUACCCUAAAGCUUGGUCAUUUUUUACUCCUCUUUUCUUCUCAUACUUCAACUCCAUUGGCCAAAUUCACCUUUAGCUCUAGUUUCACAAUAUUGCUAAAAUAAAAUUUCUUCUCAUUACUUCCAAUGCUACCACUUUGGUCUAAAAGCAUCAUCCUGAACUAUUGUAGAAGACUCUCCUUAACUAGUCUAUAUUAUCUACCCUUGAUCCAUUUCCUUCUAUUCUGAAUAUAGCUACUAUUAAAGAUAAAUUAUUCACCAGAUACAUGUUGAAAACACCAAGACAGAUCUUAUUCUGAAAUAAUAAGGGUUGAAAUUUGAAAUUACUCCUUCAUCUACGCAGAAUAAAUGUGUUAGCAAGCAUAAAAACAUUAAUCUUCUUGUACAUUCCCAUCAAAACUCUUGAAAGACUAGGGUACAUGAUCAAUGAACAGUAAUAUUUUGAAAGGAAUACUUUUUUCUGAGCAGUAGGUCUCAAUAGAAGGGUUAAAAUAUUUGUUAAACCAUGCCGUAAACAGACAUGCUCUCCUCCAGCCUUUGUUGUUCCAUUUGUAGAGCGUAGGUUGGGUAGAUUUAGCAUAAUUCUUAAGAACUCUAGGAUUUUUGGAGUUGUAAAUGAACACUGGGUUCAACUUAAAAUCACCAACUGCAUUAGCACCUAACAAGAGUCAGCCUGUCCUUUGAAGUUUUAAAGCCAGGCAUUGACUUCUCUCUACCUAUUAAAGUCCUAAAUGGCAACUUCUAAUAUAAGGCCGUUUUGUCUACAUGGAAAAUUUGUUGUUGAGUGUAGCCACUGUUACCAGUGAUCUUAGCUGGAUCUUCUGAAUAACUUACUGCAGCUUCUACAUCAGCAGUUACUUCUUUGCUUUACACUUUUAUGUUAUGGAGAAAGCCUCUUUUCUUAAACAUAAUGAACCAACCUCUGCUAGCUUCAAACUUUCUUUUGAAGUUUCCUCAGCCUUCAUAGAAUUGAAGAGUUAGGGCCUUGCUCUAGUUUAGGCUUUGGCUUAAGGGAAUAUUGUGACUGGUUUGAUAAUCUGUUCAUACCACUAAAACUUUCUCCAUAUCAACAAUAAGGCUGUUCUACUUGUUUUCAUUCACGUGUUCACUGGAGUAGCUCUCUUACUUUCCUUCGAGAACUUUUCCCUUGCCUUCAUAACUUGCCUAACUCUUCGGCACAAAAGGCCUAGCUUCAGCCUGUCUUGGCUUUGAUAUGUCUCUCUAGAGCUAGAAAAGCUAGCUUUGAAUAGCUAGAAAUUAUUAAGCUUAAUCUAUUUCUAGCUUUUGAUUUAAAGUGAAAGAUGUGAGACUCUUCCUUUUACUUGACCAUUUAGAGGAUAUUGUAGAGUUAUUAAUUGCCUUAAUUUAAAUAUGGUUGUGUUACAGGGAAUAGGGAGGGCCAAAAAGAGAAAGAGAAACAUGGGAAUGACUGGCUGGUAGAGCAGUCAGAACACACAAAAUGUUUAUCAAGUUUGCUAUCUUACAUGAACAGUGUGUGGCAUUCCAAAACAACUACAAUAGUAACAUCAAAUAUCAUUUAUCACAGAUCUCCAUAACAGAUAUAACCAUAGUGAAAAUGUAUGAAAAAAUUGUGAGAAUUUCUAUCAUGUGACACAGAGACAUGAAAUGAGCACAUACUAUUGGAAAAAUGGUGCAAUAGACUUGCUCAAUGCAUUGUUGCUACAACCUGUCAAUUUGUAACAACCACAGUAUUUGUGAAAUACGAUAAAGUAAAGCACUAUAACAUGAGGUAUCCCUGUAUAAAGAUGUGCCAUUUAAUAGAGAGAGAAAAAAGAAGCCACGUGAGGCUCAUGCUCAUUCCACUGUGUGUAAAUUGGUUAUCUGAAUCCUGCUAUUGAAAUCAGAGUUUAUAAGGAACCACAGGAUAUUCCAUGUAUUUGUGUAAUUUCUGGAGUAUAUUAUACAGGCACAUUGUAAUACAAUUACAUUGUAGGUGUGAAUGUCUUGGUUUUGCAUAUUCAAACAAUAUUUUAGAUUCUUACCCUUUUUAUUUCCUUUACAAUAUUGCAACCUACAGUCCUUUUGAUUUGGGAUAAUUUUCCUGUACUAAAUGUCUUUAAUUCAGUUAGUAUAUUAUAAUUUAUGAAUCCAGAGACUAGAAUUUUAAAAGAAGAUCAUUGGAAAUUUCACAAAGUAGAUACAUUGUAGGUAGAAAAUUGAGUUAUUUUUGUUACUACUUUCUGUAAACCAUGAGACACAAUAAAACAAAGGUUAGAUAAUGGUAUAAGAAUUUAUAAUUUUGUAUCCAGUGAAGCCUAGAUUUCAAUGGAGGAAUUAUAAACAGGAGAUUUGAACACAUUACUUUGCCAGAAUUUUCUCCUUGGUACAUUAGUCACAGAGUUCUUUAGCUAGAUAUAAGAGAAUACUUGUAGUUUAGCAAUAUUCUGUCAUGGCAUAUAUUAAUACUUCAUUACAUUGUCAAAUUGUCAUUUUAAACAGUAUUUUCACAGGACAUAAUUUAUACUUUGUACUACUUUAUGAGAUUAUGCACUCAUGUCAGCUUUUCAGAAACAGAACAUUUCUACCUACAAGAAUAUGAAGUACCUUUGAUUUUUUUUCAAAGUUCAGAGAACAUUUUUUCUCAUUAGAUGUUCUCCAAUGUCCUUAACUUUGACAUGCUUUCAAUUUUCUUUGCAUGCUGAGAAGGAUCAAAGCCAAUAUUUUUAUCACUCUGGUAUGUGUCCUGAGUUUCUGUUCCUAAAAAAGUAAAAUUCCCUUAAAAUAAAAUGUCACAAUGAAGUUGGUUAAAAUUAUAGAGUUUUAAUUUUAAGACAACUAAUUUUCACUAAAGCCUUCUACAAUUUUUUUCUUACUUUUUCCAGGUUUUCUCUGCUGAAACAUAAUAGAAACCUUGCCAUUUGUAUGUACAUAUUUUAAAUCAACCUAUAUUGUAUUUCUGUAAAAAAAUUACCUUUUAGUCUUUUUAUAUUAUUCAAAUUCUUAAUUUUUAAAAAAGUUUACAAAGUACCUUUAGUUUUAAUAGAGCAAAUAUUUUCUCCCGUUCAGUGGUUGUCUAUACCCUUUCAUGAUGAUAUACUUUAAAGUCCAAAGCAUUUUAAUUUUGAUAAACUUCAAUUUACCUUUUUAUUUUGUAGCUUGUCUUUUUUGUGUUGUUUCUAACGACACAUCAUUGUUGAAUCCAAAGUUAUGAAAUUUACUCUUCUGCUUUCUUUUAUGGGUUUUUAUAGUUUUAGCACUUAAGUUUAGCCUCUGAUCCAUUUUGAUUUAGUUUUAUAUGUCAAGUGUGCUAGGAGACCAUCUUCAUUCUUUUGCAUGUGGAUAUGCAAUUGUGUCAGAACCAUUUGUUCUGAACUGAAUGGUGUUGGUACAUUAACAAUGAAAAAAAAAAAAUCCCUGCACUUUCUCUUUCUAGUCUUUCAAUUGUAAACAUUGACUUAUUCUGAAUAUAUCUCAAUGAAACUGAAACAUGUGAUUCAUAUGCUGCUUCAAAACCACUUUACUCCUUAACAUAUUAUUUUGCCUUUGCAAUAUAAUAGCAAUUUUAUAUAAUACAUAUAGAUAGGAUUGUUUUGAUAGUGACAAAUUCAGAAUCAGUAAGUCACAUUUAUAAAGGAAAGAUAAGUGAAUAGUGAUGGAAUAGACUGAAGUACAUUUAUUUUUUGUAUUGUAAUUGCUUUGCUAAGUAAUCAGUUACAAAGUUUUUGAAUUAACUAUAGAAAUAUUAAAAAACUGUUCUUUUGGGGAUCAACUGAUUAAUCACAAGUUGCAUCAUUUAUCAGUUUGAUUUUUAAAAAGUUGCUGCUAAGUGGAGACAAUAAAAUAAUUUAUCUUAGUAGAUAUGAGAAAUAUUAUAAACUUACAUGAAUUUAGAAAUAGUUUCUAAGGUAGAAAGAAAAAAUACCUACCCCUGAAUUUCAUUUUGUUAUUUAUUCAUCCAGUUUUAUGACUAUAUUAGUGGAUAAACUAGAAAAAUGAACAAACUCUAGUUUUCUUUGUGAGAAGCAGAACCAGAUGAGUCCCCCUUUGACUGUCACUAUAUGCUCGCAACUGCCAAAUAUAGUGGCGUUUUCUCAGACUUUAUUUCAGGUCGAGUUCCUGAGAUAAGAGACGCCAAAAUGGAAAUUUGUGUGUAUGACUUUACUGAGUAGUUCUCCAGGGAAUGAUCUCUAUUAGGAAAUAAGGAAGGUAAGAUUAGGCAGAGGAAGAAGUUUAACUGCUGUACUGUUACUACAAAGGCCUCAGCCAAUUUCAUAGCAAGUUCUGAAGCUGGAGCCAGGGUUUGUACUCACUUAUUAGCAAGUCCUUGGAUGUGAGAUGCAUCUGCAGAAGGGGCAUAACCUUGGACAAGGCAGCAAUCUUUGGGCAAGGACAAUUAUUUGGGGAUGGAGUUAGGUAUGAGCCAUUGGAAAGCAAUCUUUCUAGCAGCUAGGUGAAUUAGGACCUUGCUUCUAAGAAAUACCAAGCAGCAUGCCACCUCAGCAAUAUACAUUUCCAAUCCCCCUUUGCGCUACUCAGAUCUAUAUAUUAACUUCAUUCUUUCUGGAAAUAUCUCCUAUAUCAUUCUUGUUUCUUAGAGAAACAUACAGAAAUAAUAUUAGUAGGAGCAACUACAGCCCUGUCACUGCCAAGUGGUUUCUGGGCCAUGAUGACACUUAUUAUCUUCUUCCACUACUACUUUCUGUAUGCUAACAGCUCUGCUGGUGUAUUUGUCUUACCUGGCGGGGUAAUACAUAGCCUCAUCCUUAAAAGCUUUGAGCUACCAUGUAUUUGUGUUGUGUUAUAGGCUGUACCAAGAUCUGUAAUUCUGAAAAGAAUCUGCAAUUGAGAAUGCUUCUUGGAUGAAUUUGUGAUAAUCCAUUGUUAUCCUUCAGGAUCUCUCUGGGCUUUUGUUGUAGGCAAAUUCAUGAAUUAAUUGGGGAUAAAAAUGGUGGCUACUACCACCGCACCCUUUUAGAUCUUUAAGAGUUGCAUUAAUUUCUGCUGUUUUCUCCAGGAAGUUACAUUGUUUUUGGCUUCCUGACUUGACAGGUGGGCAGUUUCAAAGCUGCAGAUUGGCCUUCUGUACUAUGACAGAACUUACCCCAUAAUCCAGUUUUCUAGAAGAAGCCAGGUCAUGGGCAGUCUUAUGGGAUGACCCACAAGGCUUCCUGGCUUGUGAUGAAAUGGGCUGCUGUGAAGUUUUGUGGUCAUUAAAGUCUCAGCAUUAUAAUAUUCUAAGCACAUGAUAUACAUUCAUACUUUGAGGCGGCUGGCAAGAUGGCGGAAUAGGAACAGCUUUGGUCUGCAGCUCCCAGCAAGAUCAACCCAGAAGGCGGGUGAUUUCUGCAUUUCCAACUGAGGGGAAGAAUCACAGAAUGGUUACUUACCUCCACAAAGGAGUUCAGAAGCCUAUAUACCAUCCUGGCUAACAGGUUAUGGAAAGGGGAAGAAGAGGAAUUCUGUUGGGGGGCAAUAAGUGAUUACUAGGAAGAAUGAAUGAAUUGGGAAGCAGAGAUUAAUUGGAGGAGGUUUUAUAAGUGUGGUUGGUCUCCUUACUGACAUGUCAACUACAAAUGCACGGGGUUCUGCCUGAAAUGUUUUAGUUGUUGCAGAUGUGUAGCUUCUAUAUGUAAAGUCUUCACUGCAUGUGCUACAGAAACUUGAACUAUCUGAAGAGAGGAUGGAGUCAUCAGAUACUGGGGUAAUUUAAAAACCAAAAUAAAUGCCUUGAGAUCUUUUCUGGGAAUGAAAAAAUACAAAGACAAGCUAAGAAGCUGGAGCAGGAAAUUGACUUUGAACUCUGCUUGGAGAAUCACCAGCUACAAAACCGUGUGGGACAAAUUUCUCAUAAGAGUAUAGAGGAUGUGACACUGUACAGAGUUCACACUCAUGACUCAAUGAUGAAAUGGAAACCAGGAAGACUUGAUUAUGAGUCGGAGGGAAUCAUUGCUGUGAGAAGCUGACAGUGGUGGAUGACAAGCCUGAAUUUCCAGAGGAAAUAGGUUCUGGAAAAGAAGUGAAAUCAUUAGAAAGGUGUUCUAAGCAUGUUUCUAGCCUGAAGGGGAGCAGCAAUCAUCAGCAAUCUAAUAAUAAAACUAGUAUUCAAGAGAUCCGAUAUUGGUAAAAGUAUGCUGAAAGUAAACUUACGUGAUAACCCAGCUUCUCACAAUAGGAGUGGAAGUGUGACCAGGUUGAUUUGCCAGAAUAUGCUGACACAGACAGAAAGAAGAAGAUAAGACCUACAUCUCUUGGAGGAAACAAUUAGUGAUUUGGCCUCUGUGCUGAUCUGAAUCGGGUGAAGAAUUCAACAGAAUUUGUGAUGAACUUGUUCCACGGAGAGGAAAAGAAGAAUUCUAUGCACACAACAGUAGAAGGAUGUAUGAAGAUGGAGAGAGGCAUUUCUGGAUAACAGAGUUGGCCUAACUGCUUCUUACCCAUUCAGGAGGCUUGAACAACAAACCAAACUUCAAAUAGGCAGGAUAAGUUAAGAAGAAAGCAAAGCAAAUAGUAUCUUCAAGGGCUGUCAUUGUCAGCCAUUAGCAGGAGAUAACCAGCUGCUAAAUAAACCCAAAUGCCUCCUUAUAUUCUUCAGGAACCCACUGGGGAAGGAGUGCAACAAACUAUUCAAGAAGCAAAGAGCAGACUCAGCACCAGCAACUGAGUGAGGCAACUUAUCAGACCGGGUGCCGGGAGCCAGGAGAAGCCAGGGAACAGGAGCCGACGCUUCCAAGCCUGCAGAGGCAGGGUGCUCCUCAGCCCCCUGAGAACACAGGGA